AAAACGAAAGAACAUUAGUAAACCCGUCCUAUAAAGGUUGAUAAGAGCUAUCAUCGUCCGUUACACAUUAUUUACAUUAUACGGGUAUAUAACAUACCGUAGGACUGUCAUUUGUUUAUUGUAAGCCAAAGCGUGAAGGAAAAAUGUAUAAAGUGAUCGUGGUAUUGGUUAUCUGUGCGGUUGUGAGCGGCUCCGUUGCGGAUUCGCAUCGCGGUGAAAACUCGUGUGGGAGUCGCGGCGGAGAAUGCUUUCCCAAUGAAUAUAGAUGUCCUGAGAUAUUAACCUACAGUGAGGCGGUAGACUGCGAGCAAGAUCAGAAAUGCUGUAUAUUAGUACAAUAAAGAGUUCUUAAAUAGA